rnacentral:lncRNA from 1 species
AAAAAUAAAAGAUUCUUUAAUAAAUAACAAACUGGUUCUUUUCUGGAAGCCAUUCAUUAUUUACCUGGAUCAGACAAAGAUUUUAAAGAAAGUUAUUUCCUGCUGAGUGCAGUGGCACAUCCCAGAAAUCCCAGCAGCUUGGGAGGCUGAGGCAUGAGAAUCACAAGUUCAAAGCCAGCCUCAUCAAUUUAGCAAAGUCCUAAGUAAUUUAGUGAGACCCUGUCUCCAAAAAUAAAAGGGCUGAGGAUGUAGUUGAGUUUUAAGCACCCCUGGGUUCAAUCCCUGGUACCAAAAAAAAAAAAAAAAAAUCAUGUGAUUCCAUUUCCCAAGAUUAUGAAGUCAUGUGUACAUUUCUCUUACAGUUAGAGAAAAGUGGUGGUUAGCUCUGUUAACAUAACUAGUUCAAAAGGCAAUUGACAAAAGUAAGAUGUGAGGUAUCACAGCAUAAGCAAAAGGGAUAGGAGUUUAAUAAAGGUACAAUGCAUGGCAUUAAGUCAGUGUGGACAGGAAGGCUUGAUUGACCUGGCAUAUUAAAAUGGGUUUUAUUUUGGAUAAAAAACAAAUUGUAGGGCUGGGUUUGUAGCUCAGUGGCAGAGCGCUUGCCUAGAAUGUGUGGGGCACUGGGUUCGAUUUUCAGCGCCUCAUAUCAAUAAAUAAAAUAAAGGCUCAUUGACAACUAAAAUAUUAAAAAAAACCAAGCAUUGUGAAUUCAACCUCUGGCUCCAUUCUACACUUUAAAGAAAUGCUAAUUCAGGCCAGCUGUGAUUUAAUUCUCAUAUUGAAAGUUAAACUUCUUAAAAUAGCAGAGUUGAAAGUUAAGUUGCACAGUAAGAGCCACCCCUCUGUUUUAUAAUCAUCUUAAGUGCUAUUUUUUAAAAAUAUUUUUAGUUGUAGAUGGACACAAUACCUUUAUUUCAUCUAUUAAUAUUUUUUUUUAAGUUUUAGGUGGAUACAAUAUCUUUAUUUUACAUUUAUGUGGUGCUAAGGAUCGAACCCGGUGCCUUGUGCAUGCUAGGCAAGCACUCUACCAUUGAGCCACAACCCAUACCAUCAUUUACUUAUUUUUAUGUGGUGCUGGGGAUUGAACCCAGUGUCUCACAUGUGCUAGGCAAGCAUUCUACCCCUGAGCUACACCUUGAACCCCUUAAGUGCUGUUUUUUUUUUUUAAUUAUUAUUAUUAUUUUUAGUGUAGAUGUGGACACAGUGCCUUUAUUUUGUUUAUUUAUUUUAUGUGGUGCUGAGGAUCAAACUCAGUGAAGAUUUUUACAUUUUAAGACCUUUACAUUAAGACUUACAUUUUAUAUGGUAUAUAGGCUAGAACUCUGGACCCCAUCACUGGGGUUCCCACCUUAAUAGAUAUAACAAUGCAAAAAGAAAUUAGAUAUUUGGAAACAUGAGAUCAAAGAAAAAUAAGUCUCAGUAAAUUCAAUUCAAAGAAAUGGGGUCAUAAUCCACAGAGACAGAGGAUAACAACAGUAUAACUGGAAACUGGGUACAAAACUCAAUAGGCUUGGUUAUAAAGGGUGUGUUUUAUUCUUAGAGCAAAGGGCAAAUACAGUCUAGGACAUUUAUGUUUUAAGUGAUUAGUUUUAAGGAAGAAGAUUCUAAUUCAAAUAUAAAACCAAAUUGCUAUUUAUGAAGGCAAAGUUCAGUAGUAUAUCUCUGACCAAUCUUCCUUUGUUCUCUAACUAGAGUCUUGAUAAACUAUUUGACAUUCUCUCUAUCUGGAAUAGUCCACUUGUCCUGCACAUGCAUGAUCUGUCUCUUUCUCUCUCUGUCUCUGUCUCUCUCUCUCUCUCUCUCUCUCUCUCUCUCACACACACACACACACACACACACACACACCAUUAUCCUUCUAGCUAAUUUCCACAUAUAUUUUAGGUCUUAAUUUAGACGUCAUUUCUUCUGAGAAACCUAGUGCAAUAUCGCCUAGACCCAAUGAGGUGCUGUCUCCAAUACUCUGAACUACUGUAGCCAUGUUGUCACUGUGUAUAGUGAUUGCCUGUUUACUUGUCUACUUUGUCCAAUAAACUCUUAAGUUC